rnacentral:lncRNA from 1 species
CGGAACCAAUGUUCCGGCAAGAUUCUUCUUCAACCACCCUUUGUAGGUACCACUAACCUCAGUUUCCUACUCGAUACGAAAGGAGACUUCCUUUGUCUUUCUUCUCUUCUACCCAUCUACCAUGUACUUUUUGAGUGGGGUUUCACAUUCUUCAUACUAGGUGAUGAAUCUCACUAUAGGCUCCGUUUGCAGUGUCUCCUUCUUGAUCUUAAAUUGCCU